rnacentral:rRNA from 1 species
CAGCAGCCGCGGUAAUACGCAGGUGGCGAGCUUUGCCCGGAAUUACUGGGCGUAAAGGGUGCGUAGGCGGCCGGACAAGUCAUAGGUUAAAGCCCGGAGCUCAACUCCGGAAAGGCCUAUGAUACUGUCUGGCUUGAGGGCCGGAGAGGCUGGCGGAAUUCCCGGUGUAGGGGUGAAAUCCGUAGAUAUCGGGAGGAACACCGGUGGGGAAGCCGGCCAGCUGGACGGUUCCUGACGCUGAGGCACGAAAGCGUGGGGAGCAAACCGGAUUAGAUACCCGGGUAGCCCACGCCGUAAACGAUGGGCGCUAGGUGUGGGGGUGAAAGCCUCUGUGCCGUAGCUAACGCGUUAAGCGCCCCGCCUGGGGAGUACGGCCGCAAGGCUGAAACUUAAAGGAAUUGGCGGG